rnacentral:rRNA from 1 species
UGCGUAGGUGGUUUCUUAAGUCAGGAGUGAAAGGCUACGGCUCAACCGUAGUAAGCUCUUGAAACUGGGAAACUUGAGUGCAGGAGAGGAAAGUGGAAUUCCUAGUGUAGCGGUGAAAUGCGUAGAUAUUAGGAGGAACACCAGUAGCGAAGGCGGCUUUCUGGACUGUAACUGACACUGAGGCACGAAAGCGUGGGGAGCAACA